GAUGAACGCUGGCGGCGUGCUUAAUACAUGCAAGUCGAACGAAGAGUCUUUGUAGCAAUACGGAGGCUUCUUAGUGGCGAACGGGUGCGUAACGCGUUGGUGACCUGCCCCGAAGUGUGGGAUACCAGUUCGAAAGGACUGCUAAUACCGCAUGUGGCUUUCCGGAUUAGAUGCCGGAUCUCUAAAGCAGUAAUGCGCUUCGGGAGGGACCUGCGUCCCAUCAGCUAGUUGGUGAGGUAACGGCCCACCAAGGCUACGACGGGUAGGGGACCUGAGAGGGUGGUCCCCCACACUGGCACUGAAACACGGGCCAGACACCUACGGGCAG
rnacentral:rRNA from 1 species